AUUGAACGCUGGCGGCAGGCCUAACACAUGCAAGUCGAGCGGCUCGGCGGCCGGGUGAGUAAUGCUUAGGAAUCUGGCUGUUCGUGGUGGAUAACGUCCGCAACCGGGCGCUAAUACUGCAUACUUUCAGAUUAGCCUAGGUCGGAUUAGCUAGUUGGUGGGGUAAAGGCCGACCAAGGCGACGAUCCCUAACUGGUCUGAGAGGAUGAUCAGUCACACUGGAACUGAGACACGGUCCAGACUCCUACGGGAGGCAGCAGUGGGGAAUAUUGGACAAUGGGCGAAAGCCUGAUGCAGCCAUGCCGCGUGUAUGAAGAAGGUCUUCGGGUUGUAAAGUACUUUCAGUCGGGAGGCGUUACCGACAGAAGAAGCACCGGCUAACUCCGUGCCAGCAGCCGCGGUAAUAC
rnacentral:rRNA from 1 species